GAUGCGAGAGAGCAAAGGUAAAGAAGAGACGAUAGAUGGGAACCUUAUAUCAGAGGGACAAGUCGUAGCUGGAUUUAUUCUUCGAACUAGAAUUCACGACGAUCGGUCCAUUCGUAAACGAAUUCUCGGACCACGCAGAUCUGAAAUAUUGGAAUGUAGAGGAGAAGUAUUUCCUGCUUCCUCGAAGGUAUUUCAACCAUGCUAUGAGAAAUGUGAAAAGAAAA